rnacentral:rRNA from 1 species
AACGAACGUUAGCGGCGCGCUUAACACAUGCAAGUCGCACGAGAAAGGGCUUCGGCCCCGGUACAGUGGCGCACGGGUGAGUAACACGUGGAUAAUCUUCCCUUUGGCGGGGGAUAACCUUCCGAAAGGAGGGCUAAUACCGCAUAAGACCACGAUCUCGAAAGAGGUUGAGGUUAAAGCAGGCCUCUAUUCAUAAGCUUGCUCCAGAGGAUGAGUCCGCGGCCCAUCAGCUAGUUGGCAGGGUAAAGACCUACCAAGGCUAAGACGGGUAGCUGGUCUGAGAGGAUGAUCAGCCACACUGGAACUGAGACACGGUCCAGACUCCUACGGGAGGCAGCAGUGGGGAAUCUUGCGCAAUGGGCGAAAGCCUGACGCAGCGACGCCGCGUGAGUGAUGAAGGCC